CAUAGCGACUAUCGUGGCAUAUCAAUAAGCGGAGGAAAAGAAACUAACAUAGGAUUCCCUUAGUAACGGCGAGUGAAGCGGGAAGAGCUCAAAUUUGAAAUCUUCAAGGUUCUACCUUGACGAGUUGUAGUUUAUAGAAGUGUUUUCUGUUAGAGGAGUAGUAAAAGUUCUUUGGAAUAGGACAUCAUAGAGGGUGAGAAUCCCGUAUUUGGUCAUUCCUCCUAGCGUUGUGAUACACUUUCAAAGAGUCGGAUUGUUUGGGAAUGCAGUCCAAAAUGGGUGGUAAAUUUCAUCUAAAGCUAAAUAUUGGCGAGAGACCGAUAGCGAACAAGUACCGUGAGGGAAAGAUGAAAAGAACUUUGAAAAGAGAGUUAAACAGUACGUGAAAUUGUCAAAAGGGAAGCGUUUGACACCAGUGUUGAUUUUUCCGAAAAUCAAUUACGAAUGUUUUGUUUUUGAGGAGUUAUGACUUCAUCGGCUUGCUCCUUUCUUUACGAAACUUUCUUAAUGCACUUUUCGGUUAACAAGUCAACAUCAAUUUCUUUUGUUGUAAAAGGGUAUGAGGAAGGUGGCUUUCUUUUCGGAGAAAGUGUUUAUAGCCUUGUGCCUCUGCAAUCGGAGAGAUUGAGGUCUGCAGCGUAGAUCCUUCGGGGUUAGAUACGUUUGUGCUAAGUUAUAGCUUUUCAUAGACAACUUGUUGACUAUGUUUAGUCUUGUAGCUUACUCGCUUACGCUAUUUUACCUACGCUUAGGAUGUUGACGAGACUGUCGAUCUC
rnacentral:rRNA from 1 species